rnacentral:tRNA from 1 species
GCCCUCGUAGUUCAAUUGGAUAGAACAGUCGCCUCCUAAGCGAUAGAUUCCCGUUCGAUUCGGGACGAGGGUA